AACGAACGCUGGCGGCAGGCUUAACACAUGCAAGUCGAGCGCCCCGCAAGGGGAGCGGCAGACGGGUGAGUAACGCGUGGGAAUCUACCCAUCUCUACGGAAUAACGCAUGGAAACGUGUGCUAAUACCGUAUACGUCCUUCGGGAGAAAGAUUUAUCGGAGAUGGAUGAGCCCGCGUUGGAUUAUCUAGUUGGUGGGGUAAAGGCCUACCAAGUCGACGAUCCAUAGCUGUUCUGAGAGGAUGAUCAGCCACACUGGGACUGAGACACGGCCCAGACUCCUACGGGAGGCAGCAGUGGGGAAUAUUGGACAAUGGGCGCAAGCCUGAUCCAGCCAUGCCGCGUGAGUGAUGAAGGCCCUAGGGUUGUAAAGCUCUUUCACCGGUGAAGAUAAUGACGGUAACCGGAGAAGAAGCCCCGGCUAACUUCGUGCCAGCAGCCGCCGUAACAC
rnacentral:rRNA from 1 species